AGCACCAUGGUUGCCAGAAGAAAUACUGGAUGGAGCCCACAUACAGAGAAGAGAAUAGAGUCAGAAAUCUGAGCAAGGACUGUGGCAGUAAGCCUAGGUAUCGGGAGACAAGAGCCUGAUCAGGAUAGUCAUAGUGGAAACAGAAGUACUAGACAGUCUGAAUCCACACGACUCGGAUUCAAUUGAUAAUUUGAGAGCUAUUUGGGGAGGGGGGCUUUGGACGUAUUGACUUCCAAGUUCCUGCUAGAUUUGGGGUGCACCAGCAGGGGGAAAGCUGAGCCAGGAUGGCAGAACAAGAUCAGAGCUGAAAAUCCAUUGUUUACCGUGUAUCCACCAUUAGUGAUAAUCUGGUAAGGUGAAACACUGGCUCUUCAAACCUGCCAGCUUUAGACUUGAACAACAUAAUCAGUUCUCCUGAGUCUUCAGCUUGCCCACUGCAGCUCCUGGGACUUUUCAGUCUUCAAAAUUGGGCAGAAGGGAUCAUAGCUCCCCAACCGAAGACUGAACCUGACCCUCUGCUUUAGAAGGCCAAGCCUUAACCACUGGACCACCAGGGAAGUCCCAACCCUGACGAAUUAUAUGAUAGUGUAUCAAAGCUGAGGAAUGGUUUUACUACAGGAAAUCAUAGAGAAAACAGGACUCAUCCCAUGGACGGAAACAGUUUCUCUAUUUAGCUGCUGAGGUCCUUGGGAAAGAGGGAAGAAAUAAACGAGAUGCACGAAUGAAUAAAGGGCUUCAAACAUCAAAACACUCUAAAGAGAGCAAUGAAGAUGCAGACUAGAAGAACUUGUGCCUGAGGACUCCAAGUGCCUGGAAAUGGAGAGGAAACGUGAAAGCCAAUUUGCUCAAUUUUAAUUGAGAAAGCAAUGCUUAACCUCCAGUCAUGUUCAAGGCUCUGAGGAAGAUACAGAGAGGAGUAAAACAGUUCCUGCCCUCUUGUUGUUUACAGCUGAACAGAGACAACGGAGUGAACAAAUCACAAGAAAGUGGCUGCCAGGAUUUUCCUGGCAGGUCCAGUGGUUAGGACUCCGUGCUUCCAAUGCAGGGGGCACGGGUUCGAUCUCGGCUCGGUGAACCAAAAUCCCACAUGCUGCUCGGCCAAAAAUAAUAAAAAAUAAACUUACAUGUCCUUGGUCUCAUAACCCCAAGAUUCUGUUUAAAAAAAAAAAA